rnacentral:rRNA from 1 species
UAGUCCACGCCGUAAACGAUGGAUACUAGCUGUUUGGAUUUCGGUCUGAGUGGCUAAGCGAAAGUGAUAGGUAUCCCACCUGGGGAGUACGUUCGCAAGAAUGAAACUCAAAGGAAUUGACGGGGGCCCGCACAAGCGGUGGAGCAUGUGGUUUAAUUCGAUGAUACGCGAGGAACCUUACCAGGGCUUAAAUGUAUGUUGACAGGUGGAUAAUUCCACUCUCCUUCGGGCAAUAUACAAGGUGCUGCAUGGUUGUCGUCAGCUCGUGCCGUGAGGUGUCAGGUUAAGUCCUAUAACGAGCGCAACCCCUGCCGUCAGUUGCCAGCAUGUAAAGAUGGGGACUCUGACGGGACUGCCGGUGCAAACCGUGAGGAAGGUGGGGAUGACGUCAAAUCAUCACGGCCCUUACGUUCUGGGCUACACACGUGCUACAAUGGCCGGUACAAUGAGCAGCCACACUGUAAAGUGGAGCGAAUCUUAAAAACCGGUCACAGUUCGGAUCGGGGU